rnacentral:rRNA from 1 species
GACGAACGCUGGCGGCGUGCCUAAUACAUGCAAGUUGAGCGCUGAAGGUUGGUACUUGUUCCAACUGGAUGAGCAGCGAACGGGUGAGUAACGCGUGGGGAAUCUGCCUUUGAGCGGGGGACAACAUUUGGAAACGAAUGCUAAUACCGCAUAAUAACUUUAAACACAAGUUUCAAGUUUGAAAGAUGCAAUUGCAUCACUCAAAGAUGAUCCCGCGUUGUAUUAGCUAGUUGGUGAGGUAAAGGCUCACCAAGGCGAUGAUACAUAGCCGACCUGAGAGGGUGAUCGGCCACAUUGGGACUGAGACACGGCCCAAACUCCUACGGGAGGCAGCAGUAGGGAAUCUUCGGCAAUGGACGAAAGUCUGACCGAGCAACGCCGCGUGAGUGAAGAAGGUUUUCGGAUCGUAAAACUCUGUUGGUAGAGAAGAACGUUGGUGAGAGUGGAAAGCUCAUCAAGUGACGGUAACUACCCAGAAAGGGACGGCUAACUACGUG